rnacentral:rRNA from 1 species
GACGAACGCUGGCGGCGUGCUUAACACAUGCAAGUCGAACGGAAAGGCCCUGCUUUUGUGGGGUGCUCGAGUGGCGAACGGGUGAGUAACACGUGAGUAACCUGCCCUUGACUUUGGGAUAACUUCAGGAAACUGGGGCUAAUAUCGGAUAGGAGCUCCUGCUGCAUGGUGGGGGUUGGAAAGUUUCGGCGGUUGGGGAUGGACUCGCGGCUUAUCAGCUUGUUGGUGGGGUAGUGGCUUACCAAGGCUUUGACGGGUAGCCGGCCUGAGAGGGUGACCGGCCACAUUGGGACUGAGAUACGGCCCAGACUCCUACGGUAGGCAGCAGUGGGGAAUAUUGCACAAUGGGCGGAAGCCUGAUGCAGCAGCGCCGCGUGCGGGAUGACGGCCUUCGGGUUGUAAACCGCUUUCGCCUGUGACGAAGCGUGAGUGACGGUAAUGGGUAAAGAAGCACCGGCUAACUACGUG